UCGGGAAUAUUGCGCAAUGGAGGAAACUCUGACGCAGUGACGCCGCGUGCAGGAAGAAGGUUUUCGGAUUGUAAACUGCUUUAGACAGGGAAGAGAAAGGACAGUACCUGUAGAAUAAGCUCCGGCUAACUACGUGCCAGCAGCCGCGGUAAUACGUAGGGAGCGAGCGUUAUCCGGAUUUAUUGGGUGUAAAGGGUGCGUAGACGGGAAUACAAGUUAGUUGUGAAAUACCUCGGCUUAACUGAGGAACUGCAACUAAAACUAUAUUUCUUGAGUGCAGGAGAGGUAAGUGGAAUUCCUAGUGUAGCGGUGAAAUGCGUAGAUAUUAGGAGGAACACCAGUGGCGAAGGCGACUUACUGGACUGAAACUGACGUUGAGGCACGAAAGUGUGGGGAGCAAACAGGAUUAGAUACCCUGGUAGU
rnacentral:rRNA from 1 species